rnacentral:lncRNA from 1 species
CAAUGAUCAAAAUCAAUUCGAGCGUUCUGUCUUUGACACGGUGAGGGAAAGAAGUCAACCCAAUGAUCAAAAUCAAUUCGAGCGUUCUGCCUUUGACACGGUGAAAGAAAGAAGUCAACUCAAUGAUCAGAAUCAAUUCGAGUAUUCUGCCUUUGGUUCUGCCUUUAACACGGUGAGGGAAAAAAGUCAACCCAAUGAUCAGAAUCAAUUCGAGCGUUCUUCCUUUGACACGGUGAGGGAAAGAAGUCAACCCAAUGAUCAGAAUCAAUUCGAGAAUUCUGCCUUUGGUUCUGCCUUUAACACGGUGAGGGAAAGAAGUCAACCCAAUGAUCAGAAUCAAUUCGAGCGUUCUGCCUUUGACACGGUGAGAGAAAAAAGUCAACCCAACGAUCAGAAUCAAUUCGAGAGUUCUGCCUUUGACACGGUGAGGGAAAGAAGUCAACCCAAUGAUCAGAAUCAAUUCAAGCGUUCUGCCUUUGGUUCUGCUUUUAACACAGUGAGGGGAAAAAGUCAACUCAAUGAUCAGAAUCAAUUCGAGCGUUCUGUCUUUGACACGGUGAGGGAAUCAAGUUUGUAUCAACCUAAUGAUCAGAAUCAAUUUGAGCGUUCUGCCUUUGGCACGGUGAGGGAAUCAAGUAUGUAUCAGCCUAAUGAUCAGAAUCAAUUCGACCGUCCUACCUUUCACAUGGCGAGGGAAUCAAGUUUGUAUCAGCCUAAUGAUCAGAAUCAAUUCGACCGUCCUUCCUUUGAGAUGGUGAGGGAAUCAAGUUUGUAUCAGCCUAAUGAUCGGAAUCAAUUCGACCGCCUUUCCUCUGACAUGGCAAGGGGAAGAAAUUUAUGUUGGGGACAAGGUAAGUCUCGAAUUGAUUACAAUCUUAUAGACUGGAGUAUACGUUCAACACCAAUAAACUUGGAUAAAUUGCGUGCCGAGAGAGCGAAAUUAAUUGCUUCCGACAAUACCGGUAUCGGUAAUGGAAGGAGAGGAUGGUUACACCAACGAGGUUGAGGACGAGGAUAAUUAUCAAUAAUGGAUAUCUUUUGUUGACAGGAGCAGUUUAUUUGCA